GGUGCUGUAGAGUAGUUGGUUAGGUCGGCUUCUUGGAUUGGAGGAGAUGCGGGUUCGGAUCCCCCCAAAAUCG